UAGGGAAUCUUCGGCAAUGGACGAAAGUCUGACCGAGCAACGCCGCGUGAGUGAAGAAGGUUUUCGGAUCGUAAAACUCUGUUGUUAGAGAAGAACAAGGACGUUAGUAACUGAACGUCCCCUGACGGUAUCUAACCAGAAAGCCACGGCUAACUACGUGCCAGCAGCCGCGGUAAUACGUAGGUGGCAAGCGUUGUCCGGAUUUAUUGGGCGUAAAGCGAGCGCAGGCGGUUUCUUAAGUCUGAUGUGAAAGCCCCCGGCUCAACCGGGGAGGGUGAUUGGAAACUGGGAGACGUGAGUGCAGAAGAGGAGAGUGGAAUUCCAUGUGUAGCGGUGAAAUGCGUAGAUAUAUGGAGGAAAACCAGUGGCGAAGGCGGCUCUCUGGUCUGUAACUGACGCUGAGGCUCGAAAGCGUGGGGAGCAAACAGG
rnacentral:rRNA from 1 species